AACGAACGCUAUCGGCAUGCUUAACACAUGCAAGUCGGACGGACUAAUUAGGGCUUGCUCCAAUUAGUUAGUGGCAGACGGGUGAGUAACACGUGGGAAUCUGCCCAUCAGUACGGAAUAACUUUUAGAAAUAAAAGCUAAUACCGUAUAUUCUCUACAGAGGAAAGAUUUAUCGCUGAUGGAUGAGCCCGCGUCAGAUUAGGUAGUUGGUGAGGUAACGGCUCACCAAGCCGACGAUCUGUAGCUGGUCUGAGAGGAUGAUCAGCCACACUGGGACUGAGACACGGCCCAGACUCCUACGGGAGGCAGCAGUGGGGAAUAUUGGACAAUGGGCGAAAGCCUGAUCCAGCAAUACCGAGUGAGUGAUAAAGGCCCUAGGGUUGUAAAGCUCUUUUAGCAAGGAAGAUAAUGACGUUACUUGCAGAAAAAGCCCCGGCUAACUCCGUG
rnacentral:rRNA from 1 species